GAUGAAGAACGUAGCGAAAUGCGAUACGUAAUGUGAAUUGCAGAAUUCAGUGAAUCAUCGAAUCUUUGAACGCACAUUGCGCCCGCUAGUAUUCUGGCGGGCAUGCCUGUCCGAGCGUCAUUUCAACCCAUCAAGCUUAGCGCUUGUGUUGGUGCCCUGCGGCCGCCGCAGCCUCCUAAAAUCAGUGGCGGGCUCGCUAUCACGCUGAGUGCAGUAGUAUUCUUCUCACUCCUGUGGUGUAGCGGGUAACCAGCCGUAAACCCCCCCAUCUAUAAAGGUUGACCUCGGAUCAGGUAGGAAUACCCGCUGAACUUAAGCAUAUCAAUAAGCGGAGGA
rnacentral:misc_RNA from 1 species